rnacentral:rRNA from 1 species
UGUCCGUCUGGUGCGUACGAAAUCUAACGUUANNANNNGUCACGGCUUUUNAGACUGGCGGUUGGUCAUGCGUGUUGUACGAUGCCAAUGGGCAGGUGUAUAGUAUGCAUGGGACGAGCAGGUUUGGGAACUGGCGCUGUUUGCGGACAAGCGAGUUCAGUUGUUGGUGUUUUCAUAAACCUUUGGUCCUGAGUUUGGUGUUCCUAAACGUCAUGGGGUCGUGGAUUUUAUGGUAAAAUCAACGUACGUUGGGCCUACUAUCUCUCUUUACGCCGCGUGAUGGUCGUCUAGUUUCUCAUGUGUAGUCAGUUUAGGGCUUCCUAGUUGGAUUGAGACAUGAGAGUCGGUGGCACGUCAUUCGGACUUAGAGAGUAGUUAUGAACGUUCAAGACGGGCGAAUGGGGGCUCUCC